rnacentral:rRNA from 1 species
UGGGGGAUAUUGCACAAUGGGCGAAAGCCUGAUGCAGCGACGCCGCGUGGGGGAUGAAGGCUUUCGGGUUGUAAACAUCUUUCGCUAUCGAACAAGGCCCGCCUAGGGUGGGUUGAGGGUAGGUGGUGAAGACGCGCCGGCUAACUACGUGCCAGCAGCCGCGGUAAUACGUAGUGCGCGAGCGUUGUCCGGAAUUAUUUGGCGUAAAGGGCUUGUAGGCGGCUUGUUGCGCCUGCUGUGAAAACGCGGGGCUUAACUUCGCGCGUGAAGUGGGUACGGGCAGGCUUGAGUGUGGUAGGGGUGACUGGGAUUCCAGGUGUAGCGGUGGAAUGCGCAGAUAUCUGGUGGAUCACCGAUGGCGAAGGCAGGUCACUGGGCCAUUACUGACGCUGAGGAGCGAAAGCAUGGGUAGCGAGCAGG